UACACAUGCAAGCUCGAACGGCAGCGCGGGAGCAAUCUCUGGCGGCGAGUGCGCGAACGGGUGAGUAACAUAUCGGAACGUGCCCCGGAGUGGGGGAUAACUAGUCGAAAGAUUAGCUAAUACCGCAUACGAUCUACGGAUGAAAGUGGGGGAUUCGCAAGAACCUCAUGCUCGUGGAGCGGCCGAUAUCUGAUUAGCUAGUUGGUAGGGUAAAAGCCUACCAAGGCGACGAUCAGUAGCUGGUUUGAGAGAACGACCAGCCACACUGGGACUGAGACACGGCCCAGACUCCUACGGNNGGCUGCAGUGGGGAAUUUUGGACAAUGGGGGCAACCCUGAUCCAGCAAUGCCGCGUGUGUGAAGAAGGCCUUCGGGUUGUAAAGCACUUUUGUCAGGGAAGAAACGGUGGAGGCUAAUAUCCUUUGCUAAUGACGGUACCUGAAAAAUAAGCACUGGCUAAAUACGUGCCAGCAUCCGCGUUAAUACACUCCGAANUUCAGCACACCUCC
rnacentral:rRNA from 1 species